CACGUAGGGCGCGAGCGUUGUCCGGAAUUAUUGGGCGUAAAGAGCUCGUAGGCGGCCUGUUGCGUCCGCUGUGAAAGCCCGGGGCUUAACCCCGGGUCGGCAGUGGAUACGGGCAGGCUAGAGGUAGGUAGGGGAGAAUGGAAUUCCCGGUGUAGCGGUGAAAUGCGCAGAUAUCGGGAGGAACACCGGUGGCGAAGGCGGUUCUCUGGGCCUUACCUGACGCUGAGGCAGCGAAAGCGUGGGGAGCGAACAGG
rnacentral:rRNA from 1 species